rnacentral:lncRNA from 1 species
CUGAAAGAGACUCCAUUCCUGACUCUAAGCAUUUUCCCUGCUAUCCCUUUGGCUGUCUGUAAUGUUCUCUUUCUUCAUCUCUGCUCUCUAUAUUCCUUAUAUUCUUUCAAGUCCCAACUAAAAUCUCAUCUUCUAUAGGAAGUCUUUACAAGUCCUUAAAUGUCUUUUCUUUGUGCACUAUCUUACCUAUAAGGUGUUUGUUCACUUGUAUGUGUAUGUGUAUGUGUCUAUGUAUUUGUGGAUGUGUGCCUGCAUGUGAAGAAACUAUUUUGUAAACCUUUAAGAGAGAAGCAGGGUGGCAAAUACGUCUUAGUCUAUUUGAGCAAAGCUCAAAUAGUGUGUAGUGAAUAGAGAAGUAGCUCAAGAGUCAGGGAGACCUGAGUUCAAGUGUUAUCUCUGACAUAUUCUGACUGUCUGAUUCUGGUUCUCCUCCUACCAAUCAGACUGUACCUUUACAAUCUCUUUGGUUGCAUCCUUUCUCUCACUCCUAAUUACAGGUGUCUCAUAGGGCUUUUCCCUAGACCCUCUUCUCUCUCUUUCUUUCUUUCUUUCUUUCUUUCUUUCUUGUUCUUCAUUCCUUUCUUUAUUUUCUUUUCUCUCUUUUUCUUGUUCUUCCUUCCUUUCUUUUUUACUUCUCUCUUUCUUUCUCUCGUUUCCUUUCUAUCUCUUUCUUUCUCUCUUCUCUCCUACACUCUUCCUUCCUUCCUUCCUUCCUUCCUUACUUACUUCCUUCCUUCCUUCCUUCCUUCCUUUCUUUCUUUCUUUCUUUCUUUCUUUCUUUCUUUCUUUCUUUCUUUCUUUCUUUCUUUCUUUCUUUCUUUCUUUCUUUCUUUCUUUCUUUCUUUCUUUCUUUCUUUCUUUCUUUCUUUCUCUCUUUUCUUUCUUUUAUAAACCUUUGCUUUCCACUUAGAAUCAUGAUAGAGGAGCACUAAGGGUGAGGCAAUAAGGGUUAAGUGAUUUGCCCCAGUGAUUUUUUAAGGUUGUUUUUUAAAAAAUAAGAUUUAGAUCCAAAGAAAAAAAUGUACCAAAAACUGUUGACAAGAAUCUUAACCAAAGUAUUGAAAUGUUUCAAGUAUUAAAUGUUCACCCAGAGCUUAUAAUAUUGUUAUAGUUAAAAAUAAAAGGAUCGCCACCUUACUAUAGAACCCUAUU